rnacentral:rRNA from 4 species
CGACUCUCGGCAACGGAUAUCUCGGCUCACGCAUCGAUGAAGAACGUAGCAAAAUGCGAUACUUGGUGUGAAUUGCAGAAUCCCGUGAACCAUCGAGUUUUUGAACGCAAGUUGCGCCCGAAGCCUUUUGGCUGAGGGCACGUCUGCCUGGGCGUCACGCA